GGUUAAGCGACUAAGCGUACACGGUGGAUGCCCUGGCAGUCAGAGGCGAUGAAGGACGUGCUAAUCUGCGAAAAGCGUCGGUAAGGUGAUAUGAACCGUUAUAACCGGCGAUGUCCGAAUGGGGAAACCCAGUGCAAUUCGUUGCACUAUCGUUAACUGAAUACAUAGGUUAACGAGGCGAACCGGGGGAACUGAAACAUCUAAGUACCCCGAGGAAAAGAAAUCAACCGAGAUUCCCCCAGUAGCGGCGAGCGAACGGGGAGCAGCCCAGAGUCUGAAUCAGCUUGUGUGUUAGUGGAACGGUCUGGAAAGUCCGACGGUACAGGGUGAUAGUCCCGUACACCAAAAUGCACAGGCUGUGAACUCGAAGAGUAGGGCGGGACACGUGGUAUCCUGUCUGAAUAUGGGGGGACCAUCCUCCAAGGCUAAAUACUCCUGACUGACCGAUAGUGAACCAGUACCGUGAGGGAAAGGCGAAAAGAACCCCGGCGAGGGGAGUGAAAAAGAACCUGAAACCGUGUACGUACAAGCAGUGGGAGCACCUUCGGGUGUGACUGCGUACCUUUUGUAUAAUGGGUCAGCGACUUAUAUUCUGUAGCAAGGUUAACCGUAUAGGGGAGCCGCAGGGAAACCGAGUCUUAACUGGGCGUUAAGUUGCAGGGUAUAGACCCGAAACCCGGUGAUCUAGCCAUGGGCAGGUUGAAGGUUGGGUAACACUAACUGGAGGACCGAACCGACUAAUGUUGAAAAAUUAGCGGAUGACUUGUGGCUGGGGGUGAAAGGCCAAUCAAACCGGGAGAUAGCUGGUUCUCCCCGAAAGCUAUUUAGGUAGCGCCUCGUGAAUUCAUCUUCGGGGGUAGAGCACUGUUUCGGCUAGGGGGUCAUCCCGACUUACCAACCCGAUGCAAACUACGAAUACCGAAGAAUGUUAUCACGGGAGACACACGGCGGGUGCUAACGUCCGUCGUGAAGAGGGAAACAACCCAGACCGCCAGCUAAGGUCCCAAAGUCAUGGUUAAGUGGGAAACGAUGUGGGAAGGCACAGACAGCCAGGAUGUUGGCUUAGAAGCAGCCAUCAUUUAAAGAAAGCGUAAUAGCUCACUGGUCGAGUCGGCCUGCGCGGAAGAUGUAACGGGGCUAAACCAUGCACCGAAGCUGCGGCAGCGACACUAUGUGUUGUUGGGUAGGGGAGCGUUCUGUAAGCCUGCGAAGGUGUGCUGUGAGGCAUGCUGGAGGUAUCAGAAGUGCGAAUGCUGACAUAAGUAACGAUAAAGCGGGUGAAAAGCCCGCUCGCCGGAAGACCAAGGGUUCCUGUCCAACGUUAAUCGGGGCAGGGUGAGUCGACCCCUAAGGCGAGGCCGAAAGGCGUAGUCGAUGGGAAACAGGUUAAUAUUCCUGUACUUGGUGUUACUGCGAAGGGGGGACGGAGAAGGCUAUGUUAGCCGGGCGACGGUUGUCCCGGUUUAAGCAUGUAGGCUGGUUAUCCAGGCAAAUCCGGAUAAUCAAGGCUGAGGUGUGAUGACGAGGCACUACGGUGCUGAAGUAACAAAUGCCCUGCUUCCAGGAAAAGCCUCUAAGCAUCAGGUAACAUCAAAUCGUACCCCAAACCGACACAGGUGGUCAGGUAGAGAAUACCAAGGCGCUUGAGAGAACUCGGGUGAAGGAACUAGGCAAAAUGGUGCCGUAACUUCGGGAGAAGGCACGCUGGUGUGUAGGUGAAGUCCCUGCGGAUGGAGCUGAGACCAGUCGAAGAUACCAGCUGGCUGCAACUGUUUAUUAAAAACACAGCACUGUGCAAACACGAAAGUGGACGUAUACGGUGUGACGCCUGCCCGGUGCCGGAAGGUUAAUUGAUGGGGUUAUCCGUAAGGAGAAGCUCUUGAUCGAAGCCCCGGUAAACGGCGGCCGUAACUAUAACGGUCCUAAGGUAGCGAAAUUCCUUGUCGGGUAAGUUCCGACCUGCACGAAUGGCGUAAUGAUGGCCAGGCUGUCUCCACCCGAGACUCAGUGAAAUUGAACUCGCUGUGAAGAUGCAGUGUACCCGCGGCAAGACGGAAAGACCCCGUGAACCUUUACUAUAGCUUGACACUGAACAUUGAGCCUUGAUGUGUAGGAUAGGUGGGAGGCUUUGAAGCGUGGACGCCAGUCUGCGUGGAGCCAACCUUGAAAUACCACCCUUUAAUGUUUGAUGUUCUAACGUUGGCCCCUGACCGGGGUUGCGGACAGUGUCUGGUGGGUAGUUUGACUGGGGCGGUCUCCUCCCAAAGCGUAACGGAGGAGCACGAAGGUUAGCUAAUCCUGGUCGGACAUCAGGAGGUUAGUGCAAUGGCAUAAGCUAGCUUGACUGCGAGCGUGACGGCGCGAGCAGGUGCGAAAGCAGGUCAUAGUGAUCCGGUGGUUCUGAAUGGAAGGGCCAUCGCUCAACGGAUAAAAGGUACUCCGGGGAUAACAGGCUGAUACCGCCCAAGAGUUCAUAUCGACGGCGGUGUUUGGCACCUCGAUGUCGGCUCAUCACAUCCUGGGGCUGAAGUAGGUCCCAAGGGUAUGGCUGUUCGCCAUUUAAAGUGGUACGCGAGCUGGGUUUAGAACGUCGUGAGACAGUUCGGUCCCUAUCUGCCGUGGGCGCUGGAGAAUUGAGGGGGGCUGCUCCUAGUACGAGAGGACCGGAGUGGACGCAUCACUGGUGUUCGGGUUGUCAUGCCAAUGGCAUUGCCCGGUAGCUAAAUGCGGAAGAGAUAAGUGCUGAAAGCAUCUAAGCACGAAACUUGCCCCGAGAUGAGUUCUCCCUGAGACUUUAAGUCUCCUGAAGGAACGUUGAAGACGACGACGUUGAUAGGCCGGGUGUGUAAGCGCAGCGAUGCGUUGAGCUAACCGGUACUAAUGAACCGUGAGGCUUAACCUU
rnacentral:rRNA from 1 species